UGGGGAAUAUUGGACAAUGGGGGCAACCCUGAUCCAGCGAUGCCGCGUGGGUGAAGAAGGCCUUCGGGUUAUAAAGCCCUUUAGAUUGGGAAGAAGUGCAGCUAGUGAAUAGCUAGUUGUAUUGACGGUACCGAUAGAAUAAGCACCGGCAAACUCUGUGCCAGCAGCCGCGGUAAUACAGAGGGUGCAAGCGUUAAUCGGAGUUACUGGGCGUAAAGGGCGCGUAGGCGGUAAGAUGAGUGUGAUGUGAAAGCCCCGGGCUUAACCUGGGAAGUGCAUCGCAAACGAUCUAACUAGAGUAUAUGAGAGGGUGGCGGAAUUUCCGGUGUAGCGGUGAAAUGCGUAGAGAUCGGAAGGAACGUCAAUGGCGAAGGCAGCCACCUGGCAUGAUACUGACGCUGAGGCGCGAAAGCGUGGGGAGCGAACAGG
rnacentral:rRNA from 1 species